rnacentral:rRNA from 1 species
GGGGAAUUUUGGACAAUGGGCGCAAGCCUGAUCCAGCCAUGCCGCGUGCGGGAAGAAGGCCUUCGGGUUGUAAACCGCUUUUGUCAGGGAAGAAAAGCUCUGGGCUAAUACCCCGGGGUCAUGACGGUACCUGAAGAAUAAGCACCGGCUAACUACGUGCCAGCAGCCGCGAUAAUACGUAGGGUGCAAGCGUUAAUCGGAAUUACUGGGCGUAAAGCGUGCGCAGGCGGUGAUGCAAGACAGAUGUGAAAUCCCCGGGCUCAACCUGGGAACUGCAUUUGUGACUGCAUCGCUGGAGUGCGGCAGAGGGGGAUGGAAUUCCGCGUGUAGCAGUGAAAUGCGUAGAUAUGCGGAGGAACACCGAUGGCGAAGGCAAUCCCCUGGGCCUGCACUGACGCUCAUGCACGAAAGCGUGGGGAGCAAAC